UUUGACUAUAGUCCACAUUUUAUUUUGUACUUAUAUGUAUGUGUUGCUAAUUUCAAAUGAAUUAAUUUCUUGAUGAGUUUUUAAACCAUACUUGAGCCAUACUAAGAGACUAGCUAUAUUAAAGAUUGUAGAUUUGGUUGGUAUACUGAAGUCAUAGCCUUUCAGUGUUCCAUCAUUUUCUUUUCAUUACCAUUUGUAAUGUCCAUUUUUGAUACUUAACAUAUUUUAUGUAAACAUUGAAUGCUUAUGACUUUUGACGCAUUUUCCUGCCAGAGUUCAUACUGUAAUUAGCACCAGUUUUAAAGUUCUGGGAACAUAACUCAUUUUUAUUAUAUUAAUUUAAAUAGCCUUUGUUAUGCCAUCUUUAUUGUUAAUUAGUCAAAAUACCAAUCUGUACUCUGGUUUGCCUGGCAUUCUUGUAUUACAUCAACCAAACUUUAAGCUUAGAGAGCAGAAUUCUAAUCUUAAAUGUGAAUACAACCCCUCAUUGAAAAAAUUCAAGCAAUAUCAAAUUUUAGUAUUUCUGAGGUGGGAUUAGACUAGUGCUGUUUGUGGAAAAAAACCUUUCUUUAUAGUACUUUCUAAUCUAUUUAAGCAUAAAAUUUGUUUUAUGGUUAGGCCCAAGAAAUUUCAACAUACUGAAGCCAGCAUAUUUGUUCCAGUUAAUAUAAGCAACUUUGAAGGUUUGAAUGGGUAGCUUUCAUCGAAACUUCAUGAGAUAUGGCAUUUGAGGGCCUAAAUACAAUUGGACUUGGUGCAAUGAGUGACUGCAUUUGGAGGGAUGGGUACAAGACUUAACAGUGCCAUGAAGAAGGAAUUUAGGAGCCAUUAGCCUUGUUCUGACAAUUAAACUUUUUUUUGAAGACCUUUUGUAAAUACUUGUUUCUGUAAUUUGAAGUUGGGGACAGGAGCCUCUUAUGGACCAUUGGGAUACUUGGUUAGUCAGUGACUAGCCUUCAGGUAAGUACUUAGCUUCUUCACCAGAUACAGUCACAGAGGCUGAGGCUUGCAGGCCUAAUACACUGGUUUUUUGUGAUCUAUUUAUUUUUUGAAGGUCAUUCAGUUGAUCUAAUCCAUUGAACAUUCUCUUAAGAAUUUCUUCUCAGAACAAAGCCCUAAACCACACACUUAAGUAAAUCAUUGAAUUACAUAUAAUUUUAGGUAAGGCCUAAAUAAAUAUAAAAUGUUUUGUUAAAGGAAUAUAUUAUUGAAGGAAAUGGAAAAAGGGGACAUCUAAAAGCAAAAGGUCAACUCUUAAAGGUAUUUAAGAAACUUCAGCAAUUAGAAUUGUAAUAAAAUUUUGAGUGUAAAGUUGAUGGGAAUAAAUCACUUUAAAAAAUGGUUGGAUUUGGGAUAGUUAAAGAACUACUUGAGUUGUGUACCAGUUGACUUUGGAGUUAGGAACAUAAACAUUUGAUUACAAAACAAAUCCAAAUGUUCAACCCGAGUCAUAAAUUUCAAUUAUUCAACGAACAGAAAUAACCACAUUUUGUCAGAUAAACACUGGGUACUACAUACUUUAAAGAGGACAUGUGUUUUUUUACAUAAGUAUAUAUAUAUAAAACAUUUUAAUGGAAAGAUAGGGUAAGCUUAUGGUGAGAGUAGCUGGUUUCUAUUUACAUAAAAGUUUAAGCUUUUUCCCCUGUUGUAACCAGGGCUCUCAAACAGGUAGACUUGUGGAUGUCAGUAUUAGCAGGAAGAAUCCAUCUAGGCUAAUGCUAUAUGUAAUAGUUGAGGAUAAAGGUCCCUAAAGCUAGGGACUUGUAUAUACAAGGCUUGCUAAUUGCCUAGUGUGUGAUCCUGGGAUCAGCUGAUUUACUAAUAAGCAUCCAUAUUUUAGAGCAUUUUUCCUGACAGUUCAAAAGCUGAAAUGUGAGCUACUGCUCACGUAGAUUUUGGCUAUACUAUGCUAAACUUGUGACUUACUUUCCUUAAUGGGGGGGGGGGGGGGGGUCUAAGGUCAUAACUGUAGAUAGGAGGGUUCUAAUUUAUAUCCCUAUCUCCAGUACCUUGCACUUUAGUAGUAGAGAUUUAACAAAUACUUUUUAAAAGUAGAGAUAAAGACAAGUAUUUUGAGAAAAAAUGGGGAAGAAGGGUUAUGAAUGAAAAGCCAUGGGAGUAGCAGUACUUGAAAACUUGAAGAAAAGGCAAGAUUUUAAAAAUGAGAUGGGGUAGGUGAAUAAUGAGAUGACAGUUGAAAUGUGAACCUGCUCUCAAGUAGUGGAAGGACAUUAGAAAAAAACCUAAGUUUCAUUGAAACCUUGGGAGAAGAUAAAUUAAUCAUAUGGUUUAGUAUCCACUAAGUGAUAAGAAAUCUAAAAGAGGCUGGUCAUUGUUGAUCUUGGAAAAAUAAAAUGGAAACCAGAUUACAUCAUUUACAAGUGGAUGGGAUGUUAAUGAAAUAUAUUUUUAUUAGCUUUGUUCUAAUAUGGCCAGUUUGUCCUUUAGUUCUUUGUCCCAGAGAGCAUCCUUACAGGAUUUUUCAGAAAGAACAAAAUAGGGGGCGGGGGGAACAUACUAUGGAACUCUUAACUGUAAGAGUAGAAAGAAAUAUAUGUAUAAUUUUCACAAUGUUCAGCUUUCAUAUGAGUGCAUAUCUUCCCUUCCAAUUGUAUAUGUGUUUUCUGGCUCUACCUACUUUUCACUUGUUCAUAUGCAUCUCUUUAGUCAACAUGUUGUAGCAUGAUAUUUUCACGUACCAUGGUUUUUGUUUUUGUUUUUUUUUUAGUAUUUUGGCAUUUCCCAAUUAGUACCUAAUUCCUAAUUCUUCUGUAGAAAAUGGUGCUAUAAAUACUUUGGGGUAUAUGCCUAGCAAAAGAAUUUUGAGUCAAUAUUGACAUUGUUUCCUUAAUUCCAGAUUGCUUGCUGGAGUAGUUGCAUGAAUUACAUUUUUAGCCCAGUCCUAUAAUUUUUAAGAGAUUUAUCUGAAGUUAACUCUGUUGGGUUCCAUACCUUUCCAUAUCCUUUAGGACCUUGCCUCCACAAGUAUCUCUGUAAAAUCUCAAAAAGAACUUGUUUUCAGCAUUUAACUGCAACUUGAAAAAACUGGUUUUUUAAUUUCUCCUUGUUUUUAAAUACUACAAAAAGUUCUCUAACUGGUUUCUCUGUCUACUGAAUCCUAAAGCAGUAUGUCCUUACUGACCAAUUCUUCCAACCUCUCUAGCUUAGGUCUACCAAAAUGCUAUUUUCACUCUUUUUCUAUUUAAACUUUAUAGCUUCUGCUACCAAUGGAUCCUCUACCCAUAUUUCUAUUACAGUUUGGCUUUGUAAAAUGCACUGUGUGUUUUAAGACCAGACUUAUCUGUUUUGUUUAUCCCCUAACUAUUCACCUUUCCUGUUUCUUUAGCCUUUUUUGAAAUUGUUACAUCUAUGGUCAGUGCUAGUAUAACUUGUUUCAAUUUUUUUGUAAACAUUACUCACUAAAAAUCUUAAGCUUCUUAAAGCUAAGGGUUUACAUUUUAACCCUUUUGUAAUCUACAAAACAUCAAGCACAUUGCCUAGGAGUAUACUAGUUGCUUAAUUCUCUGUUAAAAAUGUUUGAACAGUUUAAAUUUUGUCUUCAGUUCUGAAUCUGGGCCACCAUUAAAUCACAAACUUCUCAUUCAAACAA